rnacentral:lncRNA from 1 species
GUUGUUGUUAGCUCUACAGUUAAGACUUCCCAUUUUGAUGCAAAUGCUUCUCAGAUUAUAAAGAUUACACAGAUGUGAGAGAAAUAAAUGAGCCUAUUGAAGAUACAGUAUUUCAUGUUGUACACACAUCUGGGUAGUCAGAAUAAUGUCAUGGUAUACCUGAUAUUCCUAAGAAAUGUUGUGGGAAGAAGGUUAGAGUUA